rnacentral:miRNA from 1 species
CAGCAGGCCAUGGGGUCGCAG